rnacentral:rRNA from 2 species
GAUGAACGCUGGCGGCGUGCCUAAUACAUGCAAGUCGAACGAGUUCUCGUUGAUGAUCGGUGCUUGCACCGAGAUUCAACAUGGAACGAGUGGCGGACGGGUGAGUAACACGUGGGUAACCUGCCCUUAAGUGGGGGAUAACAUUUGGAAACAGAUGCUAAUACCGCAUAGAUCCAAGAACCGCAUGGUUCUUGGCUGAAAGAUGGCGUAAGCUAUCGCUUUUGGAUGGACCCGCGGCGUAUUAGCUAGUUGGUGAGGUAAUGGCUCACCAAGGCGAUGAUACGUAGCCGAACUGAGAGGUUGAUCGGCCACAUUGGGACUGAGACACGGCCCAAACUCCUACGGGAGGCAGCAGUAGGGAAUCUUCCACAAUGGACGCAAGUCUGAUGGAGCAACGCCGCGUGAGUGAAGAAGGCUUUCGGGUCGUAAAACUCUGUUGUUGGAGAAGAAUGGUCGGCAGAGUAACUGUUGUCGGCGUGACGGUAUCCAACCAGAAAGCCACGGCUAACUGCGUGCCAGCAGCCGCGGUAAUACGUAGGUGGCAAGCGUUAUCCGGAUUUAUUGGGCGUAAAGCGAGCGCAGGCGGUUUUUUAAGUCUGAUGUGAAAGCCCUCGGCUUAACCGAGGAAGCGCAUCGGAAACUGGGAAACUUGAGUGCAGAAGAGGACAGUGGAACUCCAUGUGUAGCGGUGAAAUGCGUAGAUAUAUGGAAGAACACCAGUGGCGAAGGCGGCUGUCUGGUCUGUAACUGACGCUGAGGCUCGAAAGCAUGGGUAGCGAACAGGAUUAGAUACCCUGGUAGUCCAUGCCGUAAACGAUGAAUGCUAGGUGUUGGAGGGUUUCCGCCCUUCAGUGCCGCAGCUAACGCAUUAAGCAUUCCGCCUGGGGAGUACGACCGCAAGGUUGAAACUCAAAGGAAUUGACGGGGGCCCGCACAAGCGGUGGAGCAUGUGGUUUAAUUCGAAGCAACGCGAAGAACCUUACCAGGUCUUGACAUCUUUUGAUCACCUGAGAGAUCAGGCUUCCCCUUCGGGGGCAAAAUGACAGGUGGUGCAUGGUUGUCGUCAGCUCGUGUCGUGGGAUGUUGGGUUAAGUCCCGCAACGAGCGCAACCCUUAUGACUAGUUGCCAGCAUUUAGUUGGGCACUCUAGUAAGACUGCCGGUGACAAACCGGAGGAAGGUGGGGAUGACGUCAAAUCAUCAUGCCCCUUAUGACCUGGGCUACACACGUGCUACAAUGGAUGGUACAACGAGUUGCGAGACCGCGAGGUCAAGCUAAUCUCUUAAAGCCAUUCUCAGUUCGGACUGUAGGCUGCAACUCGCCUACACGAAGUCGGAAUCGCUAGUAAUCGCGGAUCAGCACGCCGCGGUGAAUACGUUCCCGGGCCUUGUACACACCGCCCGUCACACCAUGAGAGUUUGUAACACCCGAAGCCGGUGGCGUAACCCUUUUAGGGAGCGAGCCGUCUAAGGUGGGACAAAUGAUUAGGGUG